AAUUAUAGCCAUAUCACCCUGCAGCCCAAGACCAGUUACUCACUAAAGCUAAGCAGGGCUGAGCCUGGUCAGUACCUGGAUGGGAGACCACUAGGGAACACUAGGUUGCUGUUGGAA
rnacentral:rRNA from 1 species